CUGUCAUUCUGGUCUCCCAGCCAUUCUUAGGAAGAGACAUGCCUGGCUCCGGGAAGGGGCAACUUCUCUGCCUGUCAGAGUUAAGUAAUGAAGAAAAAGUUCAAGAAGUGUCCUGAACAGCAGCAGCUGUGGGUGGGGAAUGUUGAAUGUCUGGGAGACUGAGAGCUGGUCCAAUUUUUUGAAUGAAGACUUCUGUGCUAAAGAGGAUCUAAGCAGCUCAAAUGGACUAAGACAUACACUCUACAAUUAGAAGAGUUUCUUUCACUAUGUCAUCUGGAAGCCCAAGCAAAACAAGCUUAGAAGAAAGAACAAACUAGAAAAAUCCUGCAAAUGUGGACUUUGAUCAAUUUCCUUCCUGAUAAGAUUCAGAUAAGUAUAUGAAAGAGUUUGCCAUUAAGAAUCAGAACAAUUAAGUUUGAUUAAGUACAAUCAAAUGAUUUCUUAUAAGUGGCAAGUGCAAGACACAUUGAUAUGUAAAAUAAAUUUUAUUUCUUGAAAAGAGUACAAUUUUAUUUGCUCUUAGAAGAUUUUCAUGUUGUAUGAUUUAGAAGACUAUACAAAAGAUAGAAGAUGGUGGAUAGCAAUUUUAUUUUUCUAAUUUAAUAGUUAUUAAAUCAAACUCUAUUAAUCUAAACAAGGAAUCCUAUUUUCUUUGUGCGAAGAAAAAACCAGCAGAUAAAUUUCUAAGUGUCACAAAGAGAAUUGUGGGUGUAAAGUUCUUGUUAUUAUUAAUAUGAGUUAGGUGUAAAAUAGCCAAAGAAAAUCUGCUUAAAAAUCACCAUUAUAUAAAACUUACUCUAGAGAAUAAAGAUGACCCCUGGAAUGUACUUAGCAAGACAAUAAAUAAAGGUGUAAGCAUCAGGCGUUCUCUGAAUAGGGAUAUUUCUUAAUUGGGUGGUAUAUUAUUUUCCUCCAGUCAUGAGAUAUAUAUGUCUGUCCACAGAAUAGAUGCCUUAGGGAUAAAUCUUAAGGUGAGUAAAUGAUUUCAUUCUGAGCAUAAAGAGUUUUUGUACUUGUUUAUUAGAAAUACCAUCUAAAACUCAGAUUAUUAUUUUUGAUUUAGGUUAACAAUAAUGUCUUGGUUCCUGUUUCUUUUUCUCUUUCCCAUGUUGCUUAGCACCCAUUAUCAGUGAUGUCAAAAGAUGGCAGGAGGGAAAAAAAGGAUUAAAAAAUACCACAAAAUAAUUGAUCAGAAAGAGUACUUCUUGAAUGCACUGUAAUUUUGCUCUCAAGUAGGAAUUCUAAACCUCCGCGGAGUGAAUCUUUGUCUCAUGGGAAAAGGAUAUUUCCCUUUCUGGAUCGGUCAGAGCUCCCAUCUGCCUCCCACCAUGACCAUCCCUCAUCAUAACUGUGACUGUUAUGCUUCUAGAUGAAAAGACACUGGAUUUAUGCUGUACAGCAUGCACAAAUGGGACACUGGCCUGUAAUGUUUGAUGGAUCGGAUUCGCAGGAGGCCGUCUGAAUACCAUAUGAGGCGUGAGGCUGGUGUUCCCCAGUCCCUACAGUGAGCUGUAGUGUUGGGGAUAGGCUAAGCCACGUUGGGCGGGCUACACUUUUCAGACUCACUCGGUUCAGCUGUGGUGACACAGGCCGGGGGCAUCUCAAGCUGUUUGGGGCUUGCACUAACCACGUGUGACAGACACCUUUGCUCCUGCUUCCCAGCAGUAGGAUCUCAACUAGAAACAGUGGGAAAAUCACUCUUCUACUUGAGAGCAGACUACAGAGACCUCUGAAUUAUAGUCUCGAAUUCCUCAGUGCAGCCUAGGUUAAAACUCCUACUUUAAGAUAACAUUGACUUACACCAAUUUUUCUACUCCCGUCACCUUCUCCAAAGGUAAUGCUGGCAUCGUAGUUCCCAUUUUACAGAAAAAGAAACUGAAGCUUGAAGAGAUAUGAGAAUAUUCCCAAAGUCCCAGGGGCCAAGCAAGAACCUCAACCCAAGGACUUUGAAUUCCUGAUUCUGUAUUUCUUCCAUGCCAGAACUUCUGAGGAUAGGUUCAGAAGUUCUUACCAUGCCCUUGGAAGUCUGUUUGGGUUUAUAUCUUCCAAGUUAUAUAACACAAAUUAUAAAGUCUAAUGGAUC